rnacentral:rRNA from 1 species
UGGGGAAUAUUGCACAAUGGGCGCAAGCCUGAUGCAGCCAUGCCGCGUGUAUGAAGAAGGCCUUCGGGUUGUAAAGUACUUUCAGUCGGGAGGAAGGUGUCAAGGUUAAUAACCUUGGCAAUUGACGUUACCGACAGAAGAAGCACCGGCUAACUCCGUGCCAGCAGCCGCGGUAAUACGGAGGGUGCAAGCGUUAAUCGGAAUUACUGGGCGUAAAGCGCACGCAGGCGGUUUGUUAAGUCAGAUGUGAAAUCCCCGGGCUCAACCUGGGAACAGCAUCUGAUACUGGCAAGCUUGAGUCUCGUAGAGGGGGGUAGAAUUCCAGGUGUAGCGGUGAAAUGCGUAGAGAUCUGGAGGAAUACCGGUGGCGAAGGCGGCCCCCUGGACGAAGACUGACGCUCAGGUGCGAAAGCGUGGGGAGCAAACAGG